rnacentral:misc_RNA from 1 species
CAGUUCGCGCACGGCGCUUGGCGACAACGGAUGUGUAAAAGCUGGUUCAUGAUGAGUUCCCUACUGGCGGAUCGAAUUAUAGAAGAAUGUUUAGAACAAGAAGAUAGUGAAGAAGAAAAUGUGAUAUGAUCACGAAAGCGGAACAGAGCAAGAAGCAAGUGAUUCAGAUGGGUCUUCAGUGUCGGAAGAGAGUUUUCCUUCGAAUUUACAUAUUGAGAAUACUGAAGAUGAAGAAUAUUUAGAGGAUGUACCGUUGAAGUACUUGAGGCGAGGUCGUUUUACUGGAAAAGACAAAAGAACUCGCUGGCAAGUUCGUGAGCCGCCGCGACGUGUACGAACAAGAUCCCAUAACAUUAUAUAUCAUUUGCCGGGACCGAUUGGCGAAGGCAAAUCUUGUUCGUCUAUGUUAGAAGCCUGGAAUCUUUUUUUUCCGGAAACGUGUUUACUAAAGAUAGUCCAGUAUACUAACAUUUAUAUAGAAGAGCUAAAGUCUAAAUUCUCAAGAGAACGCGAUUGUAAAAGUACAGAUAUCGU